rnacentral:tRNA from 1 species
CGGGGCUUAGUUCAGUUUGGUAGAAUGCGUGGUUUGGGACCAUGAGGUCGCCUGUUCAAGUCGGGUAGCCCCGA